rnacentral:rRNA from 1 species
UACGGAGGAUGCGAGCGUUAUCCGGAUUUAUUGGGUUUAAAGGGUGCGUAGGCGGCGAGUUAAGUCAGCGGUAAAAGCCCGGGGCUCAACCCCGGCCCGCCGCUGAAACUGGCUGGCUUGAGUUGGGGAAAGGCAGGCGGAAUGCGCGGUGUAGCGGUGAAAUGCAUAGAUAUCGCGCAGAACCCCGAUUGCGAAGGCAGCCUGCCGGCCCCACACUGACGCUGAGGCACGAAAGCGUGGGUAUCGAACAGG